rnacentral:lncRNA from 1 species
CCCAUUGGCUUCUGGCUUGCGAUGGCAGCGGACCAAUAGCAGUGAAUUGAAGGCGGUGCCUUGUGAAUCUCGCCUGGCUGCACGCGCAGGGGAGUGGGGGCGUGGCAUUUUUUUGAGGAAAAAAAGCUAAACAAUCUUUAAUAUUUCAAAUUGACUGUGUCGGCUUUUUAAGUUGUCUCGGCUGGUGGAGAAGUCCAUACCUUAGAAUAGUGGUAACACACGGGGAUCCACUCAAGACAGGCCUGAAUGUAUUUUCUUCCAAAUUUCUGGACGAAAAGGUAUAGAAAGCGGGUAAUCUUUCUUUAGUCACCACUCCGGUCAGACGAUGAAUUCUAAACGUUUGCUUGACAUGUCUCCGGCUGAAAUACUGGUCGGGGGCGCUUCGAAACAAGCCGGUAUUGACCAGCAUGCAGAGGGUUCCAAGGGAAGCGAAAUGAGUGUCACCACUACUGACAGCGGUGUCAUUCUGGCGUGCGGGAGCGGGCCCGCAUCAGGAGCAGUUUUCUGCACAUUCGUGCUAGACGAUGGCACUUUGAGAGAAUGUACAAACCAGGACAUUAUCCUCAAUGGGAAUGACCUGUCGUCAGGGAAAGAAAAAUACGCGCACCGGAAAAUAAUGGGUUGUGGUGGCGAGGCAGAUGAGAGGAACAGUGGUCUGACUGGGGUCCUUACUAACGGCAGUCCCACUCACUGCCUGAUCCUGAACGGGCAGAAGCCGGACAGACACAUGCACUCGAAAGUGAGGAAUCCGCUGGUGCCCGAUGGUUUCCAGGAAACCGGACAUCAAGUGCCACCUGAGGAGAGAAAUUCCCACCCCUCCUCCCACAUACCUGUCCCCCGACGCAGGUAUUGACUCUGAUGCAGUUGUUGAAGUGAAUGGAAAUAGUGCCCCUAGUUUAUCUAUGUCAACACUGUGACAGAUUGCCACUAGGGCCGUGACGGUCAUGGAAAUUUGGAUGCCGGUUAUUGGUCUGCCAAAAUACGCACAUUUUCUCCUCUCCUCCACCCCUGACUGCAUGUGCUGCUGCUGCUGGAAGGGGGCAUUGCCUAGGCAACCAAGGACUCGUUUGUUACAACACCCUGGUUUUUUUCAGCAAGAAGCAACAAAGUUUCAUCAUGUUGUAAAGAGUCCAUGUUACCGAGUAAAUGGACUCAACCACACCAAUGCUCGGUCGUCCCAAGUCAGUUGUUCGUUCUACAAAAAAAGGAAAAAAAGAAUGAUAAAACAACGGUUAUGACGGUUAUUCCUUUUCAUGACAGUCUUCAUCCAUAAUCGACAGAGUUCCUGGAGCAGUAACGCACAGAAGAAUUGCAGCCCACGCAGAGAUGGACAAGAUUGAACUUCACUAAAAUGUGCACAAUCUUUCCUGGCUUGAUUAUAUAACCUCC